UUUUGCUUGACACCAACUAUAGUUUUUGUGUUCUUGUAAAAAUCCCAGUUUAUUUGUUAAGCUUCAGUUUAUCUAGGGUCAUCUUUUAAUAAGCAUGCAGGGAAACAGAUAAAUAGUUAAAUAAAAGUCCCUUGGCCAUGAUAUUUGGAUUUUCUCUUGUCAAAUAUUGUUGCUAUAUCAUUAUAUGAAUGUAAAAUUCUAUGCUUUUGAGCCUAUGUGUUUCAAUAUCUUUUAUGUAUAGCUUUGCCUUUGGUGCCUCUUAUGCUAUG
rnacentral:misc_RNA from 1 species